UUUCUCUAAUAUAACAGCACUAGUGCAAGUGGUCAAUGACAAAUGGAAUGAGCACUGUCUACCUACCUAUUCGAUGGUGUAUCAUCAGCUUUACUUUGAGUAGGACCUCUUUAGUUGCAGCAUAAUAUACUAUGGUUGCAGCUUUAGGGAUGGCCGAAUUGAAGGCUUGCUACAUGGGGAAGGGGACCAAGGACAUAAGUCUGUCGCUUCAGAUGACCUUGUUUCAAGAGAUAUCCAAAAGAGGGUUCCACUUUUUAACGGAAAAAUUGGGUUAGCGUUAGGGAAUGGCGUUUCCAAACUUACAAGCAGCAACAUUUUAUGAAGAAGUUAUUGCAAUGUGACUCGGGUCUUAGUCGUCAACGUGAUCAUGUAGGAAAAUUGUUCCUCUAAUAUAACAGCACUAGUGCAAGUGGUCAUCGACAAAUGGAAUGAGCACUGUCUACCUACCUAUUCGAUGGUGUAUCAUCAGCUUUACUUUGAGUAGGACCUCUUUAGUUGCAGCUUUAAGGGUAAAGUUUAUUUUUAUUUUAUUUAUAUAUAAAAUUAUAUAACCAUCUUCCAGAAAGUAUUAAACUAAUUAUAGGGAUAUUCACGAAUUUAAAAGAAGGUUAAAACAAUUUUUAAUAAACAUGGAACCCUAUUCCAUUAACGAAUUUUUAGAAUAGUAGGUGCAUGUAAUAGGUACAUUAGGACGUAUUUCUUCUUAUGCAUUGAAAUUACUUCAUUUGUAUACAGGGUGGUGCCUAGCGUGACGCAGCAUAGGAAUUUCAAUUAUU